CAGAAGGCCUUCCUAGAGCUGUGCAAUGCCGAGCUCGUCGAGAUGCGGAGACUGGAGGAGAAGGACAGGAGAUACAGGGAGAAGAAGGUGUGGCAAAUGCAGCAGCAGAAGGAGGUGCAGGAGUUAGAAGCCGACACAUCACAGAGGGUGGCUGCGUGUGCCUUCGCUCGGGGAUAUCUUUCAGACCUAGUGCACUCUGUCUUCUCUUGUCUGACCGACAGCGGCUAUUUCUAAAAACCCAUGGACUCAAUCAUACGGGAUGUCUUAAAGAGAGAAUUUGAGAAGCUGGAGGCUGCUAAUCUCGUUGAUGGACUGUAGAUGCCAACACUGUUGUGCAACUGUAAAUACAUGGGAGUUAUGUGGAGUGCUGAUGGGUGAAUGCCUUGUGAACCUGUGAUUGAGCUUGAAAAUACAAGUGUCUCUUCCUUUUUUUAUAGUGAAAUCGAAUAAUGAUGUCAAGGUGUUAUAAAACGAGAAGUUAUUUUACGUAUUCAAAGAAUAAACCAAAUAGAUGGUUUAUCUGGUUAUUCCGUCUGCCGACAACCCUGGUUGGCAGUUAUAAUUUGUCUACUAAUAACCCUCUACCCAUGGAAAUAUUACUACCCAAUAGAAUUGGUAAUCUACCCACAUUCCAUUCCAUGUAAUGUCUAGAUCACAUCUAUCCUACAAAAAGACUAGACCAUGUAGAAGUAGGGUUUAUAUUACUAUAAACAAGCUAGACAGCUUUUUUACACAGUUAUUACUAAGCUUUACUAGGCUGUGUUACUUUCAUGUAAACUGCUAUUACUACUGUCAUUCGCAAUAUAUACAGUUACUAUAUAGUGCAACGACAUUUUAUUUCGUCUUCAAAAAACCUGCUACAUCACUAGAUAAAUGUAGUAUUGCGUGGCAUGCACCGUGCAGCCAGUUUCAUUUGAUUAUUUUUCCUUCAUCUGUCUUAUUAUUUAGAAUUUGCCAGUGUGCGCCCUGGUUUAAAAAUACGUUUUAAUACUGGUGCCUUGUAGGUUUACUUACUUACUUACAUUACUUAAUACACUGCAGACGUGUUCUCUACACAUUAUGAGGUUAAGCUGGUCACUUAUGAGCAACCAUAGUGAGAAAACUACGCACCUAUUACCAGGAAUGAAUAAUGACAGACUGUCAUUAUUCGCCCUGCUAUUACUACACGCAUUCUGACAGAUUAAGCUGAGCUUAAGGUGACGCGUGACUUCAUUUCCAUCACCCUGUGCGCAAAGUUCUUUGAGUUCAUGUUGUUAUUUUACAAUAUAUAGAAAGUUAGAAUAUUUUACUGCCACAUGAAGUAGACCUCUCAUUUGUCAAACAAUGUCUUUUUAGUAAAUGCUAUCAUAUCAUAAUGAAAUGACAGUGUCAGUGUCUGGUUUAAGAUGUGUUAUAUAUUUGCUAGGUACUGUACUAGCUAAAAAAUAAAACAUUGUUACUAAAUCUUGGGACUUGCUCAAUA